rnacentral:lncRNA from 1 species
UGUCGUUUUAAAAUAGGUUAAAAUAUUUAUAUUUUAAAUGGAAGCAUAGCCCACAAUGACUGGAUUCUAGAGGCGGUGUGUCAGGUAUGCAUGAUUUUUAUUUAAAAUGUGUCCAAUAAGAUUUUUCCACUUGGAAUGAACCUUUUACCUCUUACCGCAUAUUAUUAGAAACAGUGUUGCCUCAUUCCAUGGAGUUUCUUAGAAAGUUCUAAGUAACUUAACAGAAGAGAAAAAAUGAACCUGUGGGGAGAUUAAAUAACAGAAGUUUAUAUCCUAGCGGAGUGCGUGAGCACCCCGGCCUUGGGGACACACAAGUGACGAGUGGGCCAUGCAAAUUGUCGUCCGGUCACUCGGUCUCCUGGGGCAGUGGUGGCAUUCAUUUCCUGUCACGAGCACACAUGAGAAGAGGAGUCAGGUGACAUCAGCGAAUGGGACAUUGUCUUUUGCUUUGGGGGGUGGGGACACGUUUGAACCAAGAGCGCAGUUGUUGGUUUAAAUCACUAGAACCUGGCGAUAUUCCACUUUUGCUUUCCUAAGCCAAAGGUCAGAGCACAAAUGAGGUCACAGAAAGGCAGUCCUCGAGUUAUGCUGACCUGCCGGAGGGGCGAACAGAGCUACGGAGCACAGCGGACAGGUACUGGCAAUGCAGGGCGGUCCUAGGAAAUGGGAACGGUGCCAUUACAUGUAAACGGGUCGAGCCUGGGGCAUUGGGUUUCCUGCCUGCUCUUUGGAGCUGCUGUCAUGGAAAGAAGCUAAGGGCCGAGGGAUGGGGUGGGCGGAGGGGCAGGACGGCAGGGGACGGUCACCUUCUCGACAUUUGUUCUAAAGUGACUUAGAGAGAUGAUCAUUCAUUUAUCAUCGAAACCUAAUCCCGAACAGCGUUUGCUCCCUCUUUCUCUCUGUAAACACAUCUGAUCAUAAAUAACUUAAACGUCUCCUUGGCAUUCGGGAUGCAGUUCUGGCUGGAGUAAAAAAGGACGAAGGAUGCUCAGCGUGGAGGAGGAGAUGUCGGGUGUCUGUGUGUGUGGAGAGGCGGCUUAAGCGUCUAAAGCACGUUGCAAACAUCAGCCAUCAGAGACGGGCGGGGUGACCCAGCCGUAUUUUUCAUGAGUCUUCACCAAACUCUUAAAGGUAGCUUCAGCUUCCUUGCGACUGAAGGACUUUUUUGAUUUGCCGGCUUUUCUGCAG